GGGGAAUAUUGCACAAUGGGGGAAACCCUGAUGCAGCGACGCCGCGUGAGUGAAGAAGUAUUUCGGUAUGUAAAGCUCUAUCAGCAAGGAAGAUAAUGACGGUACCUGACUAAGAAGCCCCGGCUAACUACGUGCCAGCAGCCGCGGUAAUACGUAGGGGGCAAGCGUUAUCCGGAUUUACUGGGUGUAAAGGGUGCGUAGGUGGCAGGGCAAGUCAGAUGUGAAAGCCCGGGGCUCAACCCCGGUACUGCAUUUGAAACUGUCCAGCUGGAGUGCAGGAGAGGUAAGCGGAAUUCCUAGUGUAGCGGUGAAAUGCGUAGAUAUUAGGAGGAACACCAGUGGCGAAGGCGGCUUACUGGACUGUAACUGACACUGAGGCACGAAAGCGUGGGGAGCAAACA
rnacentral:rRNA from 1 species